ACCCAAAGUCACUUUAGCCAACCUGCAAAGGGGGCGAAUGCCUAAGGUAUGGGGGAUGAUUGGGGUGAAGUCGUAACAAGGUAGCUGUAGGUGAACCUGCAGAAGGAUA
rnacentral:misc_RNA from 1 species